UACGAAGGGGGCUAGCGUUGCUCGGAAUCACUGGGCGUAAAGGGUGCGUAGGCGGGUCUUAAGUCAGGGGUGAAAUCCUGGAGCUCAACUCCAGAACUGCCUUUGAUACUGGGGAUCUCGAGUCCGGAAGAGGUGAGUGGAACUCCGAGUGUAGAGGUGAAAUUCGUAGAUAUUCGGAAGAAACACCAGUGGCGAAGGCGGCUCACUGGUCCGGUACUGACGCUGAGGUGCGAAAGCGUGGGGAGCAAACAGGG
rnacentral:rRNA from 1 species